AUACCAAUAAAGUGUUUGCAGCUUGGCCUGGAGGAUGGGAAAAAAGCAAGCACCAAAAGCCAAGGCAGUUUCUUAAUGUUGAUGCUUAUUAGGUACUUUUUAACAUUAGUGGCUGGUUCUGGAAUCUGCCCACGCAGGCUGGAGGCUGAGGAAAUAUUAUUUGAACACAUCUGCUCCGAGAGAUACUGUCAGACUUUGGGAGCAUCUUGUGGUAAUUAGGAGAAUUCAUUCCCUAAUUUGGUCCAGCGGAGUUUAUUCCUGAUUGUUCGAUUCUUUUUGUGAGUUCUUUUGAAAUUUUACUUUCUGCUUUGUUUUUUUUGGCAGGUGAAACGCUCCCAGGUAAUGUUAUAACCCUGUGCUCACACAGCACCUUCCUACCUGAUGAAUUGCAAAACUUGGCAGAGAAGCUCGCAGUCACGAGCUCAAAGUGCAGCUCUGAGCUCCAGUCACUCGGACUUUCCACUUACCUGUCCCUGACACAUCUUCUCUCUCCUUCCUCCCCAUCUCCCAGUCCACAUGUGUGCAUCUGCUCUCCAGACAUAAACCCCCUGCGAAGCACCAGGGUUAAAGCAGACCUGUUGUACGCCUUUGGCUGGCUGUGCUAAAGGUUGCCCUGAGCUCUCCCCCCAGUUUCCUCGGCUUUGAGUGAUGUUCAUUUCAUGGAGAAAGAAAGAGGUUUGACUGGAUCAGCCAGGUGAUCUCCCAGGCCAGAAGUGGCCCAGACAGCACCUGAUGAAGCGAGACUGACUCACUUGCCACCUUCUUCUGCAACCCCCCCUUGGAAGCCACGUUUCCUCACUUUACUACCAUCCUCUUCCUCUCCAUUUCUGAUGGGCUUCCACAGGCAGGGCGCUACCCAUCCUCAAACUCAACCUGUUCUUCAACCCAAGGCUCAAUCCUCAUUCAUCUCCCACGUGAGAAGAGUUCCUUUACGAAAUAGUUUAAAGAAGAGGACAGCUUUAAAGCCCUGUGCUUUUUUUUCUGAAAAGGGGCCUUUAAUAUGGUUUAAUUAAAAGGUCGUCCUGCAGAGCUCGUCUGAUGUCAGCUUUGAAAUUCUGUACAUUUUGUUUCCAUUCUUAUUCUUUUGUAUGUUUAAAUCUGCACAUUUCCAAAUAAGGUUUUUGUGUGCUCGCCACAGAUCUCUGUAUUCACUCCUUGAACCUUAAUGCUUUUCGUAGCAUUGAACAGUGACAGAGUUAUGUUAACCUCCCUGCCUCACCAGGCACAUUUGUUCCCUCAAAAAUCAACACAGCAGCCAUAGGCACUGACAUCUGAAACAGUCCUGGUGCUCCUUGUAGCACUGAGUUUCUCUUUAGGCUAUGUGGAUUGCACAUAGGAACCACAGACCAGAAAACCAGAUCCUCAAGAAAACUGAACCUCUAACUAGGGAAACAUGGGCUCUUGUGUGCUGUUUUGUUUCGGGUUGUUUUGCUGUCCUCUCAGCCAGGCUCGGUUCAGGAGGAGGUAAGUUCUUCCCUAAUCAGCCUGAUAGGCUGAAUGUGGGCACCAGGUGCUGCAUAAAUACUGCUCAUCACUGCAGAGCUGCCUGUGGCUUUUUCACUUGGUGAGUUUCCAUUGCUGUUUCUGGGGUACAGGGGGAUUUAGGGGAGAAAUUAGUAAAAAUUCUAAAGCACAGCAGUGAGAUUAAACAGGGAUGUGUUUUUGUAGGUGGGUGCUGGAGGCUCUAGCUGGAACUUCUCUACGUCAGAUCCAGGAGAUUGAACUGUUGCUUUCAGGAAUCUAUGGUUGGAAACGUGCAGGAAAACUACAGUGGGAACUCAACCAGCUGCUAGAGCCCUUUCCUAGGAGACCAAAGAUCUAGAAACCCUCUUCUCCAGCCCAAGUGGAAAAAGACCAUAUCAACAAAUAGCUGCCUUGAGAUCAUAAAAAAGUCAGUGAUGAGGUUGCCCAGUGGAGGUGGAAGCUGCUUACCUGAUGUGCACAGUGAAUAACAACGAGAAUUAAGUGGCGUGUUUCAGAAUUGCUUUGGCUGUUCUAGGAAAAUGGAAGGCGAUGGCUGCUCAGGAUCCACUGGUGUUCAUUUUGUGGCCUCUGAAUGAAGGGGAAGCCUUUCUGAAGCCUGGGGAAGCUGUGUUACGUUGCAGUGUAGCUGUGCUGAUGGAGGGCCCUCCUGAGAAAAAGGAAAUGAAGACAGUGGCUAUAGGGCCUGUGUUGACAGGAGUCAUCUCUGUUGUCUGGUACCAAAAAAGGAGAGGUUGUCAUGGUUACUGGCCUCCCCUCCUGCCACUUGUCUUCUCUGGAGCCUCAGGCUUGGAGCAGGAUUCAGUGUUUCUCUCCAGUUGAGAUGUUGCUCUGAUCCCUGAAUAUUAGACAUAUCUGCUUUGGCAUGCUCUUGUGACACUUGUGUGCCUGCACAUCUCAAGCAUCUUGGGCUAUGUUCUUCCUGUUCUUCCUUAUGUUCUUACUGUGGGUUUUUCUGCUUGAAUCUGACCCCUUUUUUUGUUGUUUUUUUUUCCCUCCCCUUCCUGAAUACCACAAGAAGAAGCUUCAGUGUAAGAUGAACAUGUUCCAAAGGACUUGUGUGAACUGUGUUGGAGCUCCAUGCAACAAGGGGAUGGCAAGGACAGCAGCAAGCUAUGCUGCAGAAAUUCUUGGAGUAGGAGGAAGGGUGAAGAGAGGCAUGAGUGUUCCUGGCAGUCUUUACAGCAUGAGCUGUGUUGUUUUGAGUGAGACGUGGUAAUUACAGAGGGAACGAGGCUGGGAGCUGCCCCAGCUCUGCACUGGUUCCUCAGAGGCAGUUCUGAACUAUUGUCCUGUCUUUAGAGGAAAAUGGAGGCCUGAGAGGAUUGCCUGAGGCUCCAAUAAGGCAGUGGCAGGUGGCUUUGUAAGCUGUCUUUCAUCCAAGAGACUCAGCUACCCUUAUGUCAGAGGCUAUUCACAUCCUGUAUGGGCAGGACUGUCUUCUUGCUCAUCCCUGGCUCUGGUGGUUCCUGUUGCCUCUCCCUCAUGCUGUGCUUCAGCCAUGGUGUAAUGUAUGGCUGAAACCCCCUUCUAGCUUCCUUCUGCUGAGCUCUCUUUGCCUUGCUGACCCUGUACUUGGCCUAGGUGCCAGCAAGCCCACCAGUAAAUUCUAUGGCUCCCUGCUCUGACCUUGUAACAUCACUGCU